rnacentral:rRNA from 1 species
UACGGGGGGGGCAAGCGUUGUUCGGAAUUACUGGGCGUAAAGGGCUCGUAGGCGGCCAACUAAGUCAGACGUGAAAUCCCCAGGCUCAACCUGGGAACUGCGUCUGAUACUGGAUGACUUGAAUCCGGGAGAGGGAUGCAGAAUUCCAGGUGUAGCGGUGAAAUGCGUAGAUAUCUGGAGGAAUACCGGUGGCGAAGGCGGCAUCCUGGACCGGCAUUGACGCUGAGGAGCGAAAGCCAGGGGAGCAAACGGG